rnacentral:rRNA from 1 species
UACGGGGGGGAACAAGUGUUAUUCAUCAUAACUGGGCGUAAAGGGCGUGAAGGCUGUUAUUUGUACGUUAUUUUAUAGUCAAAAUGAGCUAUAUUAGAUCUGUAUAAGACUUGAAUAAAUGAGAAAUUUGUGGAAUUUAAUCUAAAGGGGUGAAAUGCGGUAUAGAUUAGAGACUAUCAACGGGCGAAGGCGACAAAUUAUUAUUUAUUGACGUUGUAACGCAAAAGCAUAGGGAGCAAACAGG